rnacentral:lncRNA from 1 species
UCAUUUUUCAACCGAAAUCAACUGCUACAGUUCGGUUUGAGGCAUAAUCACAUAUAAGAUGGUGAAAUCAAAAUCAAAGACUCUUUCUCUGAGGUAUUGAUGUACGCUUUUUGUCAAUCAUCUUCAAAUAUCUGAAGAACUUGAAAAGUACUUGCUUCAAUUUCAUUCUAGAAACAUUUAUGCUUCAAAUCAGGUUAAUAUGUCUGUUUCUUAUAAGUAAAAUGCGCACUCGAUUCUUGUUUCUGACGUGGGAAUUUCAGGUUAAACUCUUUGAAGUUUAUGUACUAUUAGCUUAUCCCAUUGCACAUGCAAUUAAUUAUCAUUUAAAACAAGAUUGCAGAGAGGUAAUAGCAAAAUAAUAAGAAUAAUAAUAGUUAAUUAUCAUUUAAAACAAAAUUUUACAAAGAACUUUAUAAUUAGAACAGGCUAUAAAAAAGCCGCCUUGUUCGUACAAAAUUCUGGAAUCCAAUCUUGGCUAUUUACACCUAUGCAGAAAUAAUCCCAAAAUAUUAAGGAUUUUCCGCCUAAGCAUUUAAAAAAUCGAUUCACUAGUUUCAAUAGUUCACUAAUUCAGUAUUAAAUUUAACCAAAAACACUACUAAUUUUUCUCUACCAGCACUGAUCAGUUUCCCAUCUGCGCUUCGUAAAUCCAGAAGCCGAAUAACGCACUGCUGUGGCUGCAGUCGCUGACGUCACAAACGGAGAACUCAUACGUUGCCCUUGCCAGAACAAAGACCGAUCAUAGUCGGCCCGUUUCUCUGGAUCAGACAGAGUUUC